rnacentral:lncRNA from 1 species
UUCAACUGCACGCAAUCGAGGGCAGUCUUGAUCAGUACCGGUCUUUCCAAGACCGGAAGAUUAAUGGGAAGUUAUAAAUUCCCAAUGGAAAUAAAUGCAUAAAACUAGCAGAUCAACCGAAGCGAAUUAGUUUCAUUGCCACUCUUCGUGCCGAUCAUUGUAGUGUUAAACAUGUACCGACUUGUCCUUGUAAUCGCUUUAGGGCUUUUAUGCGUGCUGCAUCCAUCCAAGAGCCAAUCGGUCUUAAACGACUUAGGCACCGUAACUGAUCAAGCGAGUGCACAACCGGCAGUGAGCACAUCAGUUGAUAGCGCAGCAUAUCGAUCAUGUGUUAUGUACCAUGCCUUGAUGACAUGAUUAUUCCGUUAAUUCUGGGUUCUCACGUACGCAUCUGAUUACCUAAACAACAUUCGAACCCGAUCUAGCUAUAAAUAAACUAAUAACGUCUUAAUGUUACAA